AACAAGGACGGACCCUCCAAGUUGUCCUGAGCUCCGCGCGGCGCUGGCGAGCGCGGGCUACAAGCUCAACAAGCACAUCUGCGACGCGCUCAUGCUGCGCUACGGCGACAAGGACGGCAACGUAACUUUCGGCGACUACAUCAUGUGCAGCGUCAAGCUCAGGAACAUGAUGGGUUUGGGAAGCUCGAGGUGUUGGACAGCGAGCUGCGUGCGGAAGACGUGCAGCUUCUGCUGCUGAGACUCCAGGAGCGGCGCGUCAGGACGGGCGGCGAGGGCGACACGCGCGCCGAGACUCACGGGUCGAAGGUUCAUCUGUACAUCACGGAUGACUGCAAACUCAACAGUGAAAGUGUUCAGCACAAAUAAAUGAUCGGCUAUUGCAACAGCGGUCAGGAGAGGCGAAGUAAAUUGCCGCAACAUCCGAAUGUAGUAACACAUGAUCGAUGCAGCGCACGAUCGACGCAACAUGCGUUCCAUGAAACACUUCUCCCUUAUACAGAUUGUGAAAUUAUAACUUUCUCCUCUUAGUACGCUACUCACAAUACUCACAAGCGACAAAUCUUUCAUAAUUAAGACGAACGUUUUCCAUACAAAGGAGCAGAUCUUCUAGCAAAUGCAGGAACAUAGACCAAUUGUGCACCUCCGUCGUUUCGGCUUUGUUGAACGUUCCAUGUUGUCGAAACUAUUGCUGCGUGUCCACAGACAUUAAAUUG